rnacentral:rRNA from 1 species
CCUUGCGCUGAUUGAGCGGCCGAUAUCAGAUUAGCUAGUUGGUGGGGUAAAGGCCUACCAAGGCUACGAUCUGUAGCGGGUCUGAGAGGAUGAUCCGCCACACUGGAACUGAGACACGGUCCAGACUCCUACGGGAGGCAGCAGUGGGGAAUUUUGGACAAUGGGCGAAAGCCUGAUCCAGCCAUGCCGCGUGUCUGAAGAAGGCCUUCGGGUUGUAAAGGACUUUUGUCAGGGAGCAAAACUUACUGGUUAAUACCCCGGUGAGGCUGAGAGUACCUGAAGAAUAAGCACCGGCUAACUACGUGCCAGCAGCCGCGGUAAUACGUAGGGUGCAAGCGUUAAUCGGAAUUACUGGGCGUAAAGCGUGCGCAGGCGGACCUUUAAGCCAGAUGUGAAAGCCCCGAGCUUAACUUGGGAAUUGCGUUUGGAACUGGGAGUCUAGAGUCUGUCAGAGGGGGAUGGAAUUCCACGUGUAGCAGUGAAAUGCGUAGAGAUGUGGAGGAACACCGAUGGCGAAGGC